CUAACACACAGCAUCUCCAUCCACAAUUACGAAUUAGUCUUCUUCCUUUGUUUCUCCGAUGGCGACCGCCGCCUUGCUCAGAUCUCUCCGUCGCCGUGAUUUUGCUACCUCUUCUCUCUCUGCGUAUAGAACUGUGAGUUCAUUUUCUUCAUUUCCAGGCUGUUAUGUUUUUUCGUCUGUUAGAUCUUUGCUAUUCUAAUAUCUAUAGCUGGUGAAGAAAAUGAACUCACAGUUGCUCUUCUCUCUUCUCCUUCAUCACUCAACCAUCAAAAUAUAGUAUAUAAUUAACAAACUCUUUUUUUUUUUAUUUAAAACUAUACUAAACCACCUAUCUAUUCCUUUUUUGACGCUGUUCCGACACUGAUGAGCAUCUAAACAACCUCAUUUCUGGAUGGACUGAAAAAAUUUACUUCAACCCCAGUAUUGAGUUGAGCCGAGCUGGCUAUUUUGACGCCUAUAACAAUACAAAACAAAUAUAAAAAAGGGGUAACAAGUAUUCUAGUCGUCGCUGAAAAACACCGCAGGCCUCUUUCGCGGGCUCAGUCCAGAUUAGCCGCAUUACGACGGCGCAAUGCGGCUGUCAAUUUUCCGGUAUCGGAGUUAUGCUCUUGCACCGCCGUUAAUCCGGUGCUUCAGGUCACAAGCAGCAUUGAAAGCAUUGGCUAAAGCAUCGGAAGACAAAAUCCCAAAUCUCAUCCUCUACAAUUAUCCUUCAUUUUCCGGAGCUUUUGCUGCGCUUUUCGCUCACCUCUAUCAUUCUCGUCUCAACAUACCUUACCUCGUCUUGCCUUUCUCUUCCGUUGAACCCUUCAGAGUUGGAGACUUGUGUAUUGACGGGCUGAGAAAUUGCUACUUCCUUGAUUUUGUUGGUCCAAAAGGAUUUGCUGAGGAGCUUGCUCCGCGGACCUCAUGCCAGAUAGUAGGGUUUGAUCACCGGAAGUCCGCCCUAUCCAAGAUCCCUUUGAAUCAAAGCUCUGGUGGGAGUAUCACAUUUCAUGUCAACCUAGAGAAAAGUAGUUCAGUUGCUGUUUAUGAACAUUUCUCUUCUAGGCUUUCAGAGUUUGGAUCCAAUAAGGGGGAUGCUAUCAGCUUGCUAAACUCUACUUUUCAAGAUCGAGUUGAAAAUGUUCUAAAAUAUAUAGAAGAUGGAGAUCUUCUCAGGUGGAGUUUGCCUGAUAUUAGGGCAUUUGGAAUUGGAGCUAACCAAUGGCAUUCAAAAUUGAACUGCAUCACUAAUCCACAUAUGUAUAAACAGCUAAUGGGGAUUUGCACCGGUGAUUUAAUUGUUACUGGAAACUCCCACAUUUCAAAUAGAUUGGCUGCGGCACACAAGUUGCUGGAUAAGUUUUUCAAAAUUCGGCUGGGGAGAGGACUUUAUGGUGAAUGCUUGGGGGUUAGAGCUGAUGGCGAACCAGACUUAAGUGAUGAAAUUGGCAAGGAACUAAGCAAGAAAAGUGCUUCAGUUGGACUCAGGCCUAUAGGAGCAGUCGUAUACCUUCAGCGGAAGAAUCUCAAGAUGUGUCUGAGGACUGUAGAUGCUGCUACUGAUACUUCAGAAGUUGCCAAGGCAUAUGGUGGAGGUGGUUCUCCUAGUUCUAGCUCAUUUAUAAUUCGGAUGGAUGAGUAUAACCAGUGGCGCUCAGUGCAUUCAUCCUAAGUAGGGUACAACAUGAAUUCCCAUCCUCUUCAUAGUUAAUCCAACUCAUGUAUGAAUUAUUGAAUUCCUUUUAAAUGUUUGUGUGAGAUAGAUGCAUUCUCGAGCUAAUCAUUUAGCUUAGGCAAAUAAGAGGGAGUAUAUACUUAAAAUGGCAUUAGGGGAUGCAGAUGUGCAAAAAGACAAAAUGUACAUCAAGAAAGGAGCAAGAAGAGGGAUGAGAUCCUGGAGGGACCAUCAGUUAGUUGAAAGGAAAUCUUCCUUCUUCUUUUUUUUCAAUUGGAAGUAGACUAGGAAAGUUUGAAUAGUCUGUAAUUUAGUGAAAUUGAAUUUUGAUGCAGAGACCUAUAGUGAAUUGUUAGUACUUUCUCCGUUUCAAUUUGUGUGUCUUGUUUUCCUUUUUAGUCCGUUUCUAAAAGAAUGGCUCUUACCUUUUUUGGCAACUUUUUAUUUUAACUUUCCACACGGCAUGUUUAAGAUCACAAGAUUAAAGGACAUUUUGAUAUAUUCUAUAUAUCUUUAGUUUAGGACACAAGAUUCUAAAGUCUUAUUUACUUUCUUAAACUCUGUGCCAAGUGAAAACCGGACAAACAAAUGGAAACGUAGGGAGUAUUUGCCAAUUUAUGUGGCACAAUUGGAAUUUCAAACUUUUAAACUUUGAACAUGAAUUCAGGCAUAGAAACUUUUAGUAUUUAGGAAUAAAAUUUAUAUAUUUAAAACUACGUAAAAAAUACUAUAAAUCAUAGAAAUUAACAACUUUAAAUUUUUAGAAGGCAUAUAAUGAAAUUUUGGUCAAAGAAAAACUUGAUCGACUCUCGAAAUUUCAAUUGUGCCAUAUACAUUGGGGCGGCGGGAGUACAUCUUUAUCCCUUAAAAUGGUGAAAAAUCCAUCUUUCAUAGUUAUUACGAGUAGAAAAGGGAAGAGCCUGAACAUAAAGUAAGGCAGACAAUUGUAGGGAUAGAAAACGGUGCGGGGUGGGUUGAAGUCUUUCUGGGUUUUACUAUAACCAAGAUUGAGGAAGAUAGAGUGCGAACAAUUUAAUUCUUCCACGGUAAAUGUGAUUGCAGUUGUAGAAGAUGUUAACAGUCUUGUUUUACAAGAAUGUUUGUCAUUACUUACAAGAGAGAAUUUAGGUAGGAGCAAUAUGCAAUAAAGUGGUGAUGAUUUUCCAGAUCUAGGUGUGUAACUUCUGAAUACUACUUGAGAGAAUAUAAAGAUUCUUCUGGGCCCUUAAAUACAUAUAACUUAUACUGAAUAUAUCCACUUAUCUAGCUGGACACCCAUCAACAGCUAUGCCUUUGGCUGUUGGACAAGUUGCCAAUUCACAGUGUUCCCCGUUAGUACCCCACCAAGUCACCCCUUUAUUCUCCAUUCCCAACGAGAAAUAUAGUAGGACUGCCAUGAAAGCUACUCCUGCAUCCAACGCUGCGGAUAGAAUGUAGUUGUAUCUCUGCCACCAUUGCUUUCGGUAUCGGAAGAUGAAGAAGUUGAAAAUUGUGCCGACAAUGACCCAUGCAUUAUAGUUUAAUGGUGUAGCGGGUGGCAUGGCACCUGUUGCUCCCAGAAGCACUGGAAGGUUGAUCAGGGGAAUCCAUGAUUGUGUUGGAAACACUUUAUGCAAGAGCCACACUAUUACAGGUCCUAUUGCACCUCCAAGGAAGAACCAGUUCAUGGAGCUGUAGUUCCCAAGAGUUCCAAAAAUCCUUUUUGGUCCGACUAAACCCCAGAUAACUGAUGCAUCAAAAAACACACGAUCUCCUGGGCAUGUCCAUGGACUGUCUGGUGGAAGGAGAUCAUCUUGACAUAUGUUCUCGAUGGAGUUUAGCAGCCACCACGCCACAGAUAUGUUGAUAGUUCCGGAAAUUAUUGUUCCUAAAAACUGGAAUUUAACCAAACAAGAAUGGAAAUUAUUCUUCUAGUCUCGAAUUUACCGUUGUUUGAAAUACUGAUAAAUUCUGGUUGUUGGAAAAAAUUGACUAAGUUAAAUAACGUGUCUCAGUACUUCCUGAUGAAAGAUAAAUUGCUAAAAUUCUUGUGUACGUUGAUAGAUUAUGAAAUCCUAACUCUCCAUAUUUACUUGUUUUUCUAGUAUGUCCAAUUUUAUUCUACCCUUUAUAGCUGCUUUUAAUGAGCAUUGCACUCAUAAUUUAGGAUUCAUCUGACUGUAGACAACUAUCUACAUACAUAUUGAGGUAAAUGCCUUUUGGUGCUUUCUGUGAUUUUUUUUUUUAAAAAAAAAAACAAAAUGGGGUGGGAGGAGAUUUGGCUUUUAAUGAUGGGUUUGGAAAUGCAAACUCAGUUCAUUGAAGUGAUGCUCAAUUCUAUACAUCUAUGCAGUGAUCUAAUGUCUGCAUUUCGUGUCAUUUAUAUCUCAGCACAUAAAACAUGUUUUCUCUCUGAAUUAAGACACUGGUGACUAUUCUGGAUGUCUUAAAGAUAUGGAGAAGCUUCUUCAUUGUGGACUUGUGGUCUCUCUACCUAGGAAAUUGUUACUGCUAAUCGUUACUGUAUACUAGAAGCUCCAAGUUCAUCACUGCUGUAUUUCCAACUUUUUGGCAGUAAUGAUAAAGUGAAUAUACCUGAACCAAGAACAUUGAUCGUGGGGGGAUCUUCAUGUAGUGGCCCAGUUUGAAGUCACUGAGGAAAGAGACAGCCUGUGACAUACUCAUGUACCCAUAGACUUUGAAGCACACAUUGGCUAUUGGUCGUCCUGGUAGUAUUAUUCCCAUGACAUAUUCAGUGAUUAUGUUCAAGCCUGGGGUCUGCAAAUUAGCAUCAUAAAUAAGACGCUUGGAAAAAACUCUAUUGAAAUAACAAGGGUGAUGAUCUUGGAUCUGUUCUUGCAAUAAAUCCAACUAGUUUAAGGUAUAGACAUCGAUCGGGGCUUGCAUAUUGGAUAAACAGUUCAAACAUGCUAAAUAAUCUGAUAGGCAAGACAUACUUGUGGUGCUAAAUGUAAGUGUAAAUGUGUAUGCUUUAUCACCUGGUUUGUUGUAGCUGUUAUGAUGCUGAUUGGAAGAGUGAAGAUAAAAGCAAUAGCACUUGCAAAUAGAAGCCCCCACCAUGGCAUCUGGACUUGGUUAUUCAAGAAAAUGCAGAGGAUUAGGGAGACUGCUAGUGUCACCAGAAGCAAUGCAUUAAACCACCAUGAAGUGCGAUGAGAAAAUGGGAAAUUUGGAAGCACCAUACAAGUCAAACCCCCAAUAUGCUGUUGGGAUCACCAUGUAUAUUAUCAACAUGUACCCUGCAAAGACGUUGACAAUGGCAAAGAAAGGGCAGAUGAGGGGGCUGAACAAGAAGGAUGCCACAGCAGACCAAUCUAGGGUUAUAGCUCCAAGUCCAAGACCCCUCAUGCCUGAUCCAAUUUUCUGAGCUGUUACUGAUUUGGAGAAUGCUCAGCAGAUCCAUGAGAUGCUCGUGAGCGUAGAGAAUAGAUAUCCUGGUACCAAAUACCAGCAAAAGCUGCAUAUCAAUGCAAUAAGGAAAAAUUUUGCUCUUGACAUGCGCUGAUCAUCUUUCUCAUGCAAGGCCCUACAAAUAUCGAGGUGUGUUAUGAUUUGCUGCAUCUUUGACCCGUUUGAAUAAGAAAAUUACUGUGAAACAAUUUACUUGUUCUAUACAAGCGCAGCUGGAGUAAAAACCUUUCAACCAUUGCAUAGUCUGAAAUGAAUGAGAAAAUUUGAAACAAAGAAACUUACAGUGAUGAUUCAUAUAGUUCACUGCAACUUCCUUUGACUGAGGUGUCGUUCUUGAAUAGAACCUUACACUAUUUUGGGUUAAAUUGGAUUUGUGACGCUUUAGAAUGUAAAUGUGUGGUCCGGGACCUCCUAGGAAGAGGAUGAAAGGAAUAGAGAAUACAAAGACAUUUUUUCCAGCUAUAUGUCACGAUAAAUAGUACUCCCUCAUUUUAAUUUAUGUGUCUUACUUUCCUUUUUAGUAUGUUUCAAAGGAAUGUCACCUUUCUAUAUUUAGCAACUUUUAAACUUCAGCAUUCACUUAUACCCCUGAACUAUUAACUGUAUAAACGUGUUUAUGAGACCUCAGUUUACAAAUAAUCCAUUUUACAAGAACAAAGACUGUAUUCUUGUUUCUUUGCAUGAUAUAUAUCUGGAAAAUGAAUUAAGCUGUGAUCGUGCAGAUGAUUGA